UACGUAGGGUGCGAGCGUUGUCCGGAAUUAUUGGGCGUAAAGAGCUCGUAGGCGGUUUGUCGCGUCGGCCGUGAAAUCUCCACGCUUAACGUGGAGCGUGCGGUCGAUACGGGCAGACUUGAGUUCGGCAGGGGAGACUGGAAUUCCUGGUGUAGCGGUGAAAUGCGCAGAUAUCAGGAGGAACACCGGUGGCGAAGGCGGCAUCCUGGACCGAUAUUGACACUGAUGAGCGAAAGCCAGGGGAGCAAACGGG
rnacentral:rRNA from 1 species